rnacentral:misc_RNA from 1 species
GGGCAAAUGCACUUUCCUCACUUAACUUUGACAGCAUCCCGUUGAAGGAAAGUGGAAUUUCUCUUUGACUGGUAAGCACUCCAAGAAAAUAAAAAAGCAAUAUAAAGCCGGCCACACACAUGCAUAGGAAAUUCGCCUUGAAUCUCUCGAGGAGGGUGGCAAAAAGUGGAAAUAAAACAGCAUCAACAGCAGUUAAAAAAACACCAGUAGACAAGUCUACCCCAAAGAGAAGAUUAAGACCGUGUGCAAUACCAAGGAUCAUAGUGAGGUCCAAUGCAAUCACAGAAAGUGCUGUUUGAACUCCAAGAAACAUGCACGUGAACUUGUCGUACUCAUCAUGGCAAAUCUGGGCAAGAUCUCUUCCAGUGACCACACCAAUUCGAGCUGAGAGGUAUUGGCAUAAAAUAGCAGCAAAAUUGAAAAUGAGCAUAGGAAGCACUAGAUCAUACCCAAAACGAGCACCUCCUUCGACAGUUGCCACCCACUUUCCAGGGUCAACAUAUCCUAUUGCAAUUAGAAGUCCAGGUCCAACAGCAGGAAGUAGCCGAUGAAGAAUACCAGGCAUGUGGUUAGCAUUCACAAACUCAGACUCCAUGUUAUUCAUUGGUACUACAAGCAAAAUGUAUGUCCCAGAGCAAGAUGAUACUUAAAUAGCAGUUCCGUAUAAAAUAACAACCCUUCUAUGAAUAAUGAGCAAAUCAAUUACAUCGUUAUUUGCUGCUUAAAUCUGCAUCUCCGAUAGUUUGUUCCACCUAUCACUGAAUAUUCAAUGAAACACUAGCGAGUCACUCAACAAAACAUGCUUUGAAUCAGCAAAGCCAAAGUCAAAUCCAUUUUCUUUAGAGCACAUUAAUAAGCAGGAACAGUGUAUCAAACAACGGCAUAGAUAUUGCUGGACUUGCAGCCCUGGGAAAUGCAAUUGAACUGAUCAAAUCAGUGAAAUCUCCCCAUGUCAGAAUUAAU